rnacentral:lncRNA from 9 species
AUGGUCAAUAUCUUCCUGAAUGGGAAAGUAAUAGCAGAAUUUAAAGGACAGAAAUUUUCCCAGCUUUCCUGGACAGUACCACCAUCCAUUUUCUCAUGUUAUUAUUUCCUUAGGGUGGCUUUGGUAGUAGCAGAGUUGUCACUGUGGUGUCUGGUCAAGUACAGAUACAGGUGGUGUUGCUGUAUCUGUGCUAGUAACAUCUGGUCCAAAGUGGAGCCAUCUCAGAACCUAGAGAUUUCUCUGAGUUCUGGGCAUAGGAGAACCAGCCACUUUGUCAGGAGAUGCUAUUCAGUUGUCAACAUGAUGGAGCAAGCCAUCUGGUGCUGGUGUGGAAGAUGGACAAAGAUCUGAGAUGAGGAAACACACAGAUCCACCCCUGCCCCCAAAACCCAAGGUAAGGAGCAAAAGGUGGAGGGGCAGGGUUGAGGCGGGGGCGGGGGUCAUGAACAUCCGCAGCUGCCUGGCCUCUAGGUUCCCUGCCCGAGCUCGCUGACGGUCCUGAGCAGCUUCCCACAUGCAGCUGUACUUGCCUGCCCUCAUCCCUUCUUUCCUCCCCAUCGGAGCCUGUAAUUACUGACACCAGGUGCACAGCUUCCACUCAUCUCCUGUGACUUCAUCGUGCAUGGAGCUGUGAGGGGUAAUUUGCCAACCUACAUGGAAGCUUCUUUUUAAAAGCAGGAUAGGUGGGGUGUAGUAUUACAUCUCUAGGAAUCCUUAGACCACAGAAAAGGAAAUGAAAUUCACCUAGGGAACAAAGGAGUCUACAGCUCACUUUUCUUCAACCUUGUGGAAUUGUAUGUAGCACUUUGGGGUACAGAGGCUGUGCCCAGAAUGAAGAAGGAAGUGUCUUGUUGCGGAAGUUUCUGGGGUCAUAGCCCCAAGUGGGGCAUUUGCUCCAAUGCCAAAUCGAGAUUAAGGCAAGGAAGGAAAAGGCUGUGGUUCAUGCACUUGGCAGAUUGCCAGUGGGGACCAGAGUGGCUAAGUGCCUGGACUUAAAGACAGACUUUCUGGGUUCAAACCCUGGGUUUACCAGUUAGCAGUAGUGUGUCUGAAUAGCUCAGGCUCUGAGCCUCAGUUUUUCAUCUGAGCAAUAGGAUGAUUAUCAAGCCUAUGUCAUGGUGUUAUUUGGAGGAUUUAAAUGAGAUACUGCAUGAGAAGCACUUGGUGUAGUACCUGGCACAAGGCACAAGGUGGUGCUUGUUUGAUUGACCUUGUCUGGCUCUGUUUCAGAAGGGUUGUGGGAGAGAGUAGCCAUGCUCUUUGAGGCAUGUCCUUCUAAGCCUGUCACCUUCUGUAUCUUGAAGGAGGGAUUGAUGCAUCUAAAACUGGUUUCGUACCUCUCUGGCUUCUACGGGCCUCCAUGCAAGCCUUUUUCCUUAGAGGGGUGGACUGAAAGAGACUUCUGCUUCCCUACACACAUUUUCCUGGUCACAGGGCUGGGAUAAUGAGGUACAAAUCCUAAGGGUCCCUGGCAGGUUGUCUGAUCCUUUUUAAGGCAGUGCAUUUUCCAAG